rnacentral:rRNA from 1 species
GAUGAACGCUGGCGGCGUGCCUAAUACAUGCAAGUCGAGCGAACGGACGAGAAGCUUGCUUUUCUGAUGUUAGCGGCGGACGGGUGAGUAACACGUGGAUAACCUACCUAUAAGACUGGGAUAACUUCGGGAAACCGGAGCUAAUACCGGAUAAUAUUUUGAACCGCAUGGUUCAAAAGUGAAAGACGGUCUUGCUGUCACUUAUAGAUGGAUCCGCGCUGCAUUAGCUAGUUGGUAAGGUAACGGCUUACCAAGGCAACGAUGCAUAGCCGACCUGAGAGGGGGAUCGGCCACCCGGGAACUGAGACACGGUCCAGACUCCUAAGGGAGGCAGCAGUAGGGAAUCUUCCGCAAUAGGCGAAAGCCUGACGGAGCAACGCCGCGUGAGUGAUGAAGGUCUUCGGAUCGUAAAACUCUGUUAUUAGGGAAGAACAUAUGUGUAAGUAACUGUGCACAUCUUGACGGUACCUAAUCAGAAAGCCACGGCUAACUACGUG